rnacentral:rRNA from 1 species
AAUGAACGUUGGCGGCGUGGAUUAGGCAUGCAAGUCGUGCGGAAAGGCUCCUUCGGGAGUACUCGAGCGGCGUAAGGGAGAGUAACGCGUGGAUAUCUACCCCCUGGACUGGGAUAGCGGCGGGAAACUGCCGGUAAUACCAGAUAAUGUCUGCGGACCAAAGGUGUGAUUCCGCCGGGGGAUGAGUUCGCGUCCUAUUAGCUAGUUGGUAGGGUAAUGGCCUACCAAGGCAAAGAUGGGUACCGGGUGUGAGAGCAUGGCCCGGCUCACCGGGACUGAGACACUGCCCAGACACCUACGGGUGGCUGCAGUCGAGAGGCUUCGGCAAUGGGGGAAGCCCUGACCGGGCGACGCCGCGUGCGUGAUGAAGGCCUUCGGGUUGUAAAGCGCUGUCGUGCGGGGCGAAGGAUCCAACGGCAAACAGUCGGGGGAUCUCGACGGUACCGCAGAAGGAAGCUCCGGCUAACUCCGUGCCAGCAGCCGCCGUAACAC